CCUACGGGUGGCAGCAGUGAGGAAUAUUGGUCAAUGGUCGGGAGACUGAACCAGCCAAGCCGCGUGAGGGAUGAAGGUACAGAGUAUCGUAAACCUCUUUUGUCAGGGAACAAAGGCGGGGACGCGUCCCCGGAUGAGUGUACCUGAAGAAAAAGCAUCGGCUAACUCCGUGCCAGCAGCCGCGGUAAUACGGAGGAUGCGCGCGUUGUCCGGAAUUAUUGGGUUUAAAGGGUGCGCAGGCGGGUUGUUAAGUCCGGGGUGAAAGGCCGGGGCUCAACCCCGGCCCCGCGUUGGAAACUGUCAGUCUCGAGUUGGAGAGAAGUAUGCGGAAUGCGCGGUGUAGCGGUGAAAUGCAUAGAUAUCGCGCAGAACUCCGAUUGCGAAGGCAGCAUGCCGGCUCCACACUGACGCUGAGGCACGAAAGCGUGGGUAUCGAACAGGAUUAGAUACCCUUGUAGUC
rnacentral:rRNA from 1 species